rnacentral:miRNA from 1 species
AAAGAAUAGCGUCGACUUUUCCGACACUAAACUUAAAAUAAAUUUAAAUUAAAUUUAUUUUAAGUUUAGCGUCAGAAAAAUCAACGCUAUAUU